UACGGAAGGCAGCAGUGGGGAAUAUUGCACAAUGGGCGCAAGCCUGAUGCAGCCAUGCCGCGUGUAUGAAGAAGGCCUUCGGGUUGUAAAGUACUUUCAGUCGUGAGGAAGGUGUUAAGGUUAAUAACCUUAGCAAUUGACGUUAGCGACAGAAGAAGCACCGGCUAACUCCGUGCCAGCAGCCGCGGUAAUACGGAGGGUGCGAGCGUUAAUCGGAAUUACUGGGCGUAAAGGGCACGCAGGCGGUUAAUUAAGUUGGAUGUGAAAUCCCCGGGCUUAACCUGGGAAUGGCAUUCAAGCUGGUUAGCUAGAGUCUUGUAGAGGGGGUAGAAUUCCAUGUGUAGCGGUGAAAUGCGUAGAGAUGUGGAGGAAUACCGGUGGCGAAGGCGGCCCCUGGGACAAAGGACUGACGCUCAUGUGCGAAAGCGUGGGGAGCGAAAC
rnacentral:rRNA from 1 species